rnacentral:rRNA from 1 species
AUUGAACGCUGGCGGCACGCCUAACACAUGCAAGUCGAGCGGCAGCGAGACUAGUAGCAAUACUAGUUGUCGGCGAGCGGCGGACGGGGGAGUAACACGUAGGAAUCUGCCCUUAAGCGGGGGAUAACCAAGGGAAACUUUGGCUAAUACCGCAUAAUCUCGAGAGAGCAAAGCUGCCCGCAAGGGUGGCACUUGAGGAGGAGCCUGCGUCCGAUUAGCUAGUUGGUGGGGUAAUGGCCUACCAAGGCGAUGAUCGGUAACUGGUCUGAGAGGACGACCAGUCACACUGGGACUGAGACACGGCCCAGACUCCUACGGGAGGCAGCAGUGGGGAAUAUUGGACAAUGGGGGCAACCCUGAUCCAGCGAUGCCGCGUGAGUGAAGAAGGCCUUCGGGUCGUAAAGCUCUUUAGGUUGGGAAGAAGGGUAUUGGCUGAAUAAUCCAGUACUUUGACGGUACCGACAGAAUAAGCACCGGCAAACUCUGUGCCAGCCGCCGCGGUAAUAC